CCUACGGGGGGCAGCCGUGAGGAAUAUUGGUCAAUGGGCUGAAGCCUGAACCAGCCAAGUAGCGUGCAGGAUGACGGCCCUACGGGUUGUAAACAGAAAUUAUACGGGAAUAACGCGCCUUACGUGUAGGGCUUUGCAUGUACCGUAUGAAUAAGGACCGGCUAAUUCCGUGCCAGCAGCCGCGGUAAUACGGAAGGUCCGGGCGUUAUCCGGAUUUAUUGGGUUUAAAGGGAGCGUAGGCCGCAUGUCAAGCGUGCUGUGAAAUGUUCGGGCUCAACCCGGGCCUUGCAGCGCGAACUGGCGUGCUUGAGUGCGCGGUGAGCAGGCGGAAUUCGUCGGGUAGCGGUGAAAUGCUUAGAUAUGACGAAGAACCCCGAUUGCGAAGGCAGCUUGCUGCAGCGGAACUGACGCUGAUGCUCGAAAGCGCGGGUAUCGAACAGGAUUAGAUACCCUUGUAGUC
rnacentral:rRNA from 1 species